CAAUAGCGUAUAUUAAAGUUGUUGCGGUAAAAAAGCUCGUAGUUGGAUUUCUGUUGAGAGCGACCGGUCCAUACCAUGUAUGCGUAUCUGGCUUGCUCUCGGCAUCCUCUCGACAGACGUUACUGCGCUUGAUUGCGUGGUGCGGAUCUCGGGACUUUUACUUUGAGGAAAUUAGAGUGUUCACGGCAGGCUUUCGCCAGAAUACAUUAGCAUGGAAUAAUACUAUAGGAUCUUGGUUCUAUUUUGUUGGUUUCUAGAAUUGAGAUAAUGAUUAAUAGGGACAAUUGGGGGCAUUCGUAUCAACACGUCAGAGGUGGAAUUCUUGGAUUGUGUUGCGACGAACUACUGCGAAAGCAUUUGCCAAGGAUGUUUUCAUUGA
rnacentral:rRNA from 1 species